rnacentral:lncRNA from 1 species
UAUUAACUAACUUUCAGAGAUCCUUUCUGCUUUGUAGUAGUACUUGAGGUUAUAAGGGUCAGUAAUUUACCUUUUGAUUGCCUUCAUGCCACCAGCAGUGCACCAUUAAAGAACUGAUGAACUGAUGCCUCUCACUGUCCUUCUUGAUUCUGCUAGUACCUCUCACUGGCCUUAUCUCAUUUUUCACAUUACUUCUUCCUCUUCUACUAGUACCUCUCACUGGCCUUCUUGAUUCUGCACCCAGCAAGCCCAAGAUGUCCAUAAAUCAAAGAAAAACCAACAAACACUGCACCAAAAGAUGUUGUUAAUAGGGUUGCAAGAAUGCUAAAAAUUACAAUAUAAACAAUGAUGCUAGAAUAGUAAUUUUGUAGCACCAUUCGACAACUACAAUUCAUGAAGGAAAUAUAUCAAAACAUCCACAAAGAGGUGCAUGAUUAUUAGUUUUCCAUGGAAAUUAUAAAAACUAUAUGCAUGUAGCUAGCUUUUCUCCUCUUGUUUUUUGGCAUACGCAAAGAAUAUGAAGUCUAAAAUGUUCUAAUUGUAAAACACACUCCAAAGCAAACCUAUUUUCCUAUUCCAUAUCAAAAUAUAAACUGUUUGAGGAUAAUCCAACUUGGAAAGGUAGUUAUCUUUUCCAAGGGACCUUCUCUAAGCAAUAAGAAGUAAGUUCAUGCCACAAAAGGGACCUUCUCUAAGCAAUAAGUAGAAAGUUCAGGUCACAAAGUUUACUCUUAGACAUAUAUACAAUAAAAUAAAACAAUGAUCGCUUGAACUAAUUGGAGAAUAACAUGCGAGCUUAUAGCAUUUGAUCACUUGAACUUAUAGCAAUAUGAAUAAGAAAUAUGUACGGCUUCCGACCUAUGGAGAUUAUAAGAAAUUUGUAAAUACUAGUACUGCAACCAACAUUUAUAAAUACUAGUGAACUUGAACUUAUGGUCUCUCGAGAUCUGAACUGAUUGUGUUACAAGCACACGCACAAAAAUCCAAUGAAGCUGAUAUUAGUACAUGUUAAAAAGAUAAUCAAGUUCAUGUAUAUUAAUUUUGAGAAGUUCAGAAAGAAACUUUUUUAUAAGUUUGUACUGAAAAGAUGUGCAAACAUAUGCAAACAUAUUUAGUGCUUUUUUUAGGAAGGAACUCAAUUCAACAAAACAUAAGCAAACAUCUCGGCUAUAGCAUAAGGACUAGAACAACUGCUGUAGCAUAAGGAAUAGAACAACUAUCAAUAUAAAUUGCACUGCUGUAGCAUAAGGACUAGAACAACUAUCAAUAUAAAUUGAUGUUUGUUGUCAUUGCACUGCUGUAGCAUAAGAACUAGUUGUUCUUGUCAUUCCACUGCUGUAGCAUAAGGACUAGAACAACUAUCAAUAUAAAUUGAUGUUUUUUUGUAGGUUUUUGGGAAUGAGAAUUCAUGUUGUUGGAACUAUAUGAAAGUUUAACUAUGUGUACUACUCCAUAUAUAGCAAACUCAUUACAACUGGAUCCAGGAAUAAGUACAUAGGUAGGUUCGGUUUCAUGUGAAAUAAAUAAAUUUAGCCAAAAAGAGAACAUAAAAUAAAGUACACAUUCUUAGAAACAUUUCAACAGGUUCUGAGCUUCCAUCAAACUUAGCUGAUUCUCUAGCACCAUUGUUUGCUUUUUCACAUAGAAUAUGUUUGGGAGACACAUGGGUUUAUAUAUUUUCCAACUUCCACUAUUGUUCUAAUCGAACUUUCGCAUUUUGCACAGGGAACUUUAAAAAAAAUUAGCUACUCAAAUGUUUUUUAGUAUAGGCGCUAAACCAGAAAAUGUUUCUUUUUUGUCUAAUGAACUGAUGUAAUUUAUUGUUACCGAAUAACUACUAUGGUGUACACAUACACAACUGAAUUAUUACUGAUUUCACUUUUUAUAUUGAAUUGACACAUAAAACAUGAUGCACCAGCAGAUGUGCUCAACAUAAAACACGGUGAAGUUUAUGCCAUAUAAAAAUAAAUGAACUUAUAAUGAAAUCCAGGGCUACUACUUUAAUUCAGUUCAACUUAUUUGUCUUAAACAUCAAAGUAAAACACGGUGAAGUUUAAAUGGAACUUCAAAUAAAGCUAUUCGAUGAGAGGCAACAUAGGGCUGGAGCGAUAACUCUCAACCCGUGCGUAGCCAAGAACACCAAAAUCGAUUUCCAUCUAACAUAACUCGGUACUGUAAAAACUAAAUCUACUUAAACAACGUCUUCCACUAGAGUACUGAUGGCAAUAACACAACCUUCCACCCAUAAAUUUAUGAAACUGCAUGAGUUCUAUUUUUUGAACUCCUCCCAUGGUUGCAUAUGAACUGAGCAAUAAGCACCAUCAUGUUUUUUCUCUGAACUUUAUAGGGGGUAAACACUUGAACUUAUGAAACGGCAGCUCACCAUGCACAUCUGCUUCAUACCUCUGUCUCGUUGCUCGAUGUGGUACACUUGCCACCUACUCGUUAUCGCCGGUCAUACCCUACACACAACAAUAGCCAAUUAAGGAUGCACCGCAAGACACCUAGGGUUGUAUCUUCGAUACACUUUGAACUAAAAAUAUAGUAGCACAAGAAAACAAGUCUGUACUCACAUUUUUAGAGUUCUCUAGGUACACCCCAGGACUUUUGAACUUAUGACAUGGUGGUUUUGGGUAGGCUAGAGGUGUAACCUUCCAUCUCAUUUCAAUUUAGGAUUCAUGUGGCACUUUGCUUCCCAUUCAACCUUGCUUCCCAUUUCAUUAGUACUAGUAUGAAUCAACAAUAAAUUUAGAAUUGUAGCAGCGUUAAGGAAACAGUGUCGAAAGCCACCAUUGAUGGACCACCACCGAUGGGAUCCUGAGGAGCCCCGCUGAUGGAUGACCAACAACUGCCGGGAGUCAUUUUUUUGCUUUCUAUUUGAACUCACCACCCUUCAAGUCUGAAACUGAUGCAAAACCAAUUUUUUUCUCCAGUAAUCUGCUGUAUUUUUUUCUAUGUAUUAAGCUAAGAUAUAAUACUAAAGCAAAAUUGUUUUUAACAGAUACAUUUUUACUAUUUUUCUGCAUGUCCUUUUAUGGGCUGAUGAUAUAUAUACAUGACAGAAUGGGAGAGAUAGGCAUGCAAGUAUGGCCGAACUAUUGUACCUUGGUCAAACCUAACGGAGAGUUUUGACAACACACAAAGAACUGACGAGUGUACAAUUCAUCAAACUUCGAAACGUG